UCGGGUAUCCAUGAAAAGACUUCUUCAGUGUCUUUUGAAUUUGACUUCGAACAUCGUCAAUUGUACAUCCAUCGUCUGUGAACAUGCUAGCAAUCGUUACCUUUUGCGUUGCCAAGGUUGGGGAAACAAAUGCUGCCGAUGGUCAACUCUCGAUUUAUGAGCGACUGAAUCAAAUGUGCUUUAUCUGUUUUACCUGCUUUACCUGCAAGUUUUGCAUCCACAAGCUUUCACGUCUUCGCGGUCGUCACUACCCCCACUUAAAUUCAUAUUCAUGGGUUUUGUCGUAGAAAAACCCAAGAUAUCAGCAAGUCAGUCUACUUGUUGAUCGCAAACGGUAAACAUCGAAGUCGUGAAUCUAAGUGCAUUUUGUUUCCUAUUAUUUCUGUGGAAAAAGAGGUGCAAUGAGUGUAAAGAAGUAUUAAAGAUUGGACUUUACCCCUGCAGAGAAUGAAAUACUUACGGAAAAAGUGAGGGAAAAUCCACCGCUGUAUGUCAAAAAAUUAAAAACAUACAAAGAUAUUCAAUUAAAGGAGAAUAUUUGGAAGAAAAUUCAGAAGGAAAUGGAAGAAGUAGACUAUAAUAGAACAGUUGAAGAUUGCAAAAAACGGUGGACAAAUUUACGGGACUACUACGCCAAAACAAAAAGGGCCAGUACAACCGGUAGUGCAGCACAUGAUGCGAAAGAAAGUCUAAAGAAUUAAAAAUUUUUGAUGAAAAUACGAUUGUCCACAGACCUUGCAGUACUACGAGCAACAUAGCUGACUGUUCACUACAAAUUGAAAAAAUGAAGAAACAGAAGAGCCAAAUUCAUCAGGAAUAAUAACAACGGGAACCGCAACAACAAUAGCAACAACGGCAACGGCAACAACAUCAAUGGCAGGGACAAGAGGAAUCACGGUAACGGCAACAAGUCAACGGCAACCACAUCAACGGCAACAACGUCAAACAAUAAUAGUACUAUAGAGACAAGGAAGCGAACAAGAUCGCAAGUCUUCGACAUUAUAGAAAAAGGGAGAGAGGAACGGAUAAAAUUGUUACGGCAAUUAGUGAACAAGGAACAGGUGGGUGGACCAUGUAGACAGCUACUUUAAAUCUUUGGCGGACAUAGCGAAAACAUGGUCGCCACUAUACUACGCUCAUGCGAGAAGAAAAAUUAGUAAUCUCGUUAGCGAGCUGGACAUUGAAUAUUUAUCAAAGAAUAUAAAUAACAGAACAGAAGACGAUAAUAGCGAAUAAAAAAAUAAAAUUAGCAGUAUAAAAGACGGUGUUUUUAUUCAUUUUUAAGGCCACUUAUCUCAAUGUGACGCAUUGAGAUAAGCUUUUGUUCGGGUGAAAUAGGUUUAGGAUAUUUGUUGGUAGGUACUGUUGUGAUAUCGGUUUUGAUAUAAUCCAGUACGGUGUAAAAAAUU